rnacentral:rRNA from 1 species
GCAAGUCGAACGAGAAAGCACCUUCGGGUGUGAGUAGAGUGGCGCACGGGUGAGGAACGCGUAGGUGAUCUACCUUUUGGCGGGGAAUAACUAAGAGAAAUUUUAGCUAAUACCGCGUAAGCAGUAAUUUUGAAGAUUUUACUGGAAAGAAUGCCUCUGUAUAUGCAUUCACCGAAAGAUGAGCCUGCGCGACAUUAGCUUGAUGGUGGGGUAAUGGCCUACCAUGGCAACGAUGUCUAGCUGGUCUGAGAGGACGAUC